rnacentral:rRNA from 1 species
GGGUUGUGAGGUUAAGCGACUAAGCGUACACGGUGGAUGCCCUGGCAGUCAGAGGCGAUGAAGGGCGUGCUAAUCUGCGAUAAGCGCCGGUAAGGUGAUAUGAACCGUUAUAACCGGCGAUACCCGAAUGGGGAAACCCAGUGUGACUCGUCACACUAUCAUUAACUGAAUCCAUAGGUUAAU